rnacentral:misc_RNA from 1 species
CAUAUCGUUCGGCAGGCUCUGUGCUCGUGCAUCGAACUGUCGGCGCCCCAUCCGCUUCAGUCCUGCCCCGAGCGCAGCUCCUGGCUCGCGGGUGCUUGAGGUAUCCUGUGUUGCUUACCCCGUAAAGGAAUUCGAUGGUUUUGGUGUCCCCAUCCGUCUUGCGCCCCUUCGGGGUGCGGGGCGGACGCGGGGUGGGCUCCGUGUUCCCCGUGUGUCGAGCGCCUUGACGCUCGGCCGCUGUGGCCCAUGGGGUCUCGCCCGUGCUCUCGGAUGCGGAAUGCUGUGUGUGGGCGUGGGGGUCUCGGCCCCUGCUCGCCCGAGCUGCACGCAUUGUCCCUUGACUUGAACGACCGUCGCGCCCGUCUUGAUCGACCGACCGUGCCCCCGUCGCGGGGCUCCGGGAGGGCGGCUCAUGCGGGCGUCGGCGUCGGAGAGGAAUGUUACCUGGUUGAUCCUGCCAGUAGUCAAGGCUUGUCUA